rnacentral:rRNA from 1 species
UACGUAGGGGGCAAGCGUUGUCCGGAAUCAUUGGGCGUAAAGAGCGUGUAGGCGGUCCGGUAAGUCGGCUGUGAAAGUCCAGGGCUCAACCCUGGGAUGCCGGUCGAUACUGCCGGACUAGAGUUCGGAAGAGGCGAGUGGAAUUCCCGGUGUAGCGGUGAAAUGCGCAGGAUAGUCGGGAGGAACACCUAUGGCGAAGGCAGCUCGCUGGGACGUUACUGACGCUGAGACGCGAAAGCGUGGGAGC